rnacentral:other from 1 species
GUUCACCGCCGCAUAGGCGGUUUAGAAA